rnacentral:rRNA from 1 species
UACAGGGGGGGCAAGCGUUGUUCGGAAUUACCGGGCGUAAAGGGCGCGUAGGCGGCCCGCUAAGUCGAACGUGAAAUCCCCGAGCUCAACUCGGGAACUGCGUCCGAUACUGGCGGGCUUGAGUCCGGGAGAGGGAUGCGGAAUUCCAGGUGUAGCGGUGAAAUGCGUAGAUAUCUGGAGGAACACCGGUGGCGAAGGCGGCAUCCUGGACCGGUAUUGACGCUGAGGCGCGAAAGCUAGGGGAGCAAACGGG